UUGUUUCAGUGGGAAGAGCAAGGGGCAUUGCCCUUUAAAUCCUUCAGUGGUUCGAAUCCACAUCUGAGCG
rnacentral:tRNA from 1 species